CUUACUUCAUUUCAAAUUUCACACCUCUCAUCUCUCUCCUCCCUAAGUCUUGGAAAAUCCUCCGACCACCUCCGAUGAGCACCACCGGACGCUCCCUCUCAACUGCUGGAAAAGGACGGAGGCUUGGUGGAAUCGAGUCGGGGUCGGAGGGCUCCCUCUGAAGAACUGGUCAUCGAAGAGAGAUCGAGCCGUGGUUCUACCCGGAGGACCCAGAAGAUAGGCGAAGUUGAACUCCCUGUCGACGGCGUCGCCUUGCCAUCCUCGUCGCCAUCUCCGCAUUCACUGGCACUAACCGUCUUCUUAGUUGCCCGUUCAUCUUCUCCUCUUCCUCCUCCUCCUCUGCCUCCUCCCAUUGAGGUGAUUAGUUGAGCACCACCCAUCGAAGUAGAAAACUCAUCGCAUCGUCAAAGAUCAGGAGCCUUGAAAAUGAGAGCAUCAGAAUAACGUCGACAGAGGGGACAUUCUUGGACAGAGAGAGUGAUGGGGCAAUGGUUGAAAAUUCUGCAGAUGGGGAUGAACAAAACUGGCCCAUUAAUGUUCAAGCCACGGGGGGUCAGAAUAGUGUUUUCUUGAACAUUUCAAACUCCAGGGGCACUUCUGAAGUUGAAAUAACUGGCAGCAUCAAUGACGAUCUUGGUUCACCCAUCAAACAAGCAAAUGAUGCACCCCUAGAGAAAAUGGAUACUGAGUUGGCAGAUUCAGGUGAUGACGUCCCCUCUACUGCUAUAGCCAAAACGGGUAUUGGUGGGAGAAGAUUGAGGGCCGUGUUUGAUGAUGAUGAGGAUUAGCAUAAUGGAAAUCAAGGCUUGACUAUGACCAAGUCCAGGAUUGACAAAUGUAAUCGUUCUAUGUGCGGCUUUCUUAUGGUAGGGGGCGCGCUUUUCCAAAUAUGAAAUGUGCAUCAUGUUCAUAUGUAUCAUGUUGUGGUCAAGGUAUUACGACGAUCUCUCCGAUUAUAGUGCCUCUAUUUAAGGCCACGUUUAAAACUUGAAUGACGAUCCCACAGUCAUAUCUGUAUGAGGUUUUGAAACCUACACAUCAUUGU